GGGUUGUGAGGUUAAGCGACUAAGCGUACACGGUGGAUGCCCUGGCAGUCAGAGGCGAUGAAGGACGUGCUAAUCUGCGAAAAGCGUCGGUAAGGUGAUAUGAACCGUUAUAACCGGCGAUGUCCGAAUGGGGAAACCCAGUGUGAUUCGUCACACUAUCGUUAACUGAAUACAUAGGUUAACGAGGCGAACCGGGGGAACUGAAACAUCUAAGUACCCCGAGGAAAAGAAAUCAACCGAGAUUCCCCCAGUAGCGGCGAGCGAACGGGGAGCAGCCCAGAGUCUGAAUCAGCUUGUGUGUUAGUGGAACGGUCUGGAAAGUCCGACGGUACAGGGUGAUAGUCCCGUACACCAAAAUGCACAGGUUGUGAACUCGAAGAGUAGGGCGGGACACGUGGUAUCCUGUCUGAAUAUGGGGACCAUCCUCCAAGGCUAAAUACUCCUGACUGACCGAUAGUGAACCAGUACCGUGAGGGAAAGGCGAAAAGAACCCCGGCGAGGGGAGUGAAAAAGAACCUGAAACCGUGUACGUACAAGCAGUGGGAGCACCUUCGGGUGUGACUGCGUACCUUUUGUAUAAUGGGUCAGCGACUUAUAUUCUGUAGCAAGGUUAACCGUAUAGGGAGCCGCAGGGAAACCGAGUCUUAACUGGGCGUUAAGUUGCAGGGUAUAGACCCGAAACCCGGUGAUCAGCCAUGGGCAGGUUGAAGGUUGGGUAACACUAACUGGAGGACCGAACCGACUAAUGUUGAAAAAUUAGCGGAUGACUUGUGGCUGGGGUGAAAGGCCAAUCAAACCGGGAGAUAGCUGGUUCUCCCGAAAGCUAUUUAGGUAGCGCCUCGUGAAUUCAUCUUCGGGGUAGAGCACUGUUUCGGCUAGGGGGUCAUCCCGACUUACCAACCCGAUGCAAACUACGAAUACCGAAGAAUGUUAUCACGGGAGACACACGGCGGGUGCUAACGUCCGUCGUGAAGAGGGAAACAACCCAGACCGCCAGCUAAGGUCCCAAAGUCAUGGUUAAGUGGGAAACGAUGUGGGAAGGCACAGACAGCCAGGAUGUUGGCUUAGAAGCAGCCAUCAUUUAAAGAAAGCGUAAUAGCUCACUGGUCGAGUCGGCCUGCGCGGAAGAUGUAACGGGGCUAAACCAUGCACCGAAGCUGCGGCAGCGACACUAUGUGUUGUUGGGUAGGGGAGCGUUCUGUAAGCCUGCGAAGGUGACCUGUGAGGGUUGCUGGAGGUAUCAGAAGUGCGAAUGCUGACAUAAGUAACGAUAAAGCGGGUGAAAAGCCCGCUCGCCGGAAGACCAAGGGUUCCUGUCCAACGUUAAUCGGGGCAGGGUGAGUCGACCCCCUAAGGCGAGGCCGAAAGGCGUAGUCGAUGGGAAACAGGUUAAUAUUCCUGUACUUGGUGUUACUGCGAAGGGGGGACGGAGAAGGCUAUGUUAGCCGGGCGACGGUUGUCCCGGUUUAAGCAUGUAGGCUGAUUAUCCAGGCAAAUCCGGAUAAUCAAGGCUGAGGUGUGAUGACGAGGCACUACGGUGCUGAAGUAACAAAUGCCCUGCUUCCAGGAAAAGCCUCUAAGCAUCAGGUAACAUCAAAUCGUACCCCAAACCGACACAGGUGGUCAGGUAGAGAAUACCAAGGCGCUUGAGAGAACUCGGGUGAAGGAACUAGGCAAAAUGGUGCCGUAACUUCGGGAGAAGGCACGCUGGUGUGUAGGUGAAGUCCCUGCGGAUGGAGCUGAGACCAGUCGAAGAUACCAGCUGGCUGCAACUGUUUAUUAAAAACACAGCACUGUGCAAACACGAAAGUGGACGUAUACGGUGUGACGCCUGCCCGGUGCCGGAAGGUUAAUUGAUGGGGUUAUCCGUAAGGAGAAGCUCUUGAUCGAAGCCCCGGUAAACGGCGGCCGUAACUAUAACGGUCCUAAGGUAGCGAAAUUCCUUGUCGGGUAAGUUCCGACCUGCACGAAUGGCGUAAUGAUGGCCAGGCUGUCUCCACCCGAGACUCAGUGAAAUUGAACUCGCUGUGAAGAUGCAGUGUACCCGCGGCAAGACGGAAAGACCCCGUGAACCUUUACUAUAGCUUGACACUGAACAUUGAGCCUUGAUGUGUAGGAUAGGUGGGAGGCUUUGAAGCGUGGACGCCAGUCUGCGUGGAGCCAACCUUGAAAUACCACCCUUUAAUGUUUGAUGUUCUAACGUUGGCCCCUUACCGGGGUUGCGGACAGUGUCUGGUGGGUAGUUUGACUGGGGCGGUCUCCUCCCAAAGCGUAACGGAGGAGCACGAAGGUUAGCUAAUCCGGACAUCAGGAGGUUAGUGCAAUGGCAUAAGCUAGCUUGACUGCGAGCGUGACGGCGCGAGCAGGUGCGAAAGCAGGUCAUAGUGAUCCGGUGGUUCUGAAUGGAAGGGCCAUCGCUCAACGGAUAAAAGGUACCCGGGAUAACAGGCUGAUACCGCCCAAGAGUUCAUAUCGACGGCGGUGUUUGGCACCUCGAUGUCGGCUCAUCACAUCCUGGGGCUGAAGUAGGUCCCAAGGGUAUGGCUGUUCGCCAUUUAAAGUGGUACGCGAGCUGGGUUUAGAACGUCGUGAGACAGUUCGGUCCCUAUCUGCCGUGGGCGCUGGAGAAUUGAGGGGGGCUGCUCCUAGUACGAGAGGACCGGAGUGGACGCAUCACUGGUGUUCGGGUUGUCAUGCCAAUGGCACUGCCCGGUAGCUAAAUGCGGAAGAGAUAAGUGCUGAAAGCAUCUAAGCACGAAACUUGCCCCGAGAUGAGUUCUCCCUGAGACUUUAAGUCUCCUGAAGGAACGUUAAAGACGAUGACGUUGAUAGGCCGGGUGUGUAAGCGCAGCGAUGCGUUGAGCUAACCGGUACUAAUGAACCGUGAGGCUUAACCUUACAACGCCGAAG
rnacentral:rRNA from 1 species